rnacentral:rRNA from 1 species
AGCGCAAGCGGCUGUGGAGUGUAUAGAAGUGAGAAUGCCGGAAUGAGUAGCGCGAAUGCAGUGAGAAUCUGCAUGGCCGAAAGCCUCAGGUUUCUGGAGGAAGGUUCGUCCGCUCCAGGUUAGUCGGGAGCUAAGGUGAGGCCUAACGGCGUAGCCGAUGCACAGACGGUAGAGAUUCCGUCACCACCAAAAGAGUUAAACACAGGGACACAUUUGAAGUCUCGGAGCCGGGUGUUGGUUCCGGUAGCGAUCGAGGGAAAUUAGUACCGAAGUUCGGGAUGGAAGAUGGCGAGAAAAGCUGUGUGUAUUUCUGCGGUGCCCGUACCGCAAACCGACACAGGUAGGUAGGAAGAAGAUUCUAAGGCCAACGGGAGAAGGGUUGUUAAGGAACUCGGCAAAUUGACCCCGUAACUUCGGGAGAAGGGGUGCUCUAGAGAUAGAGCCGCAGAGAACCGGCCCAAGCAACUGUUUACCAAAAACACAGGUUUGUGCUAAAUCGAAAGAUGACGUAUACGAGCUGACGCCUGCCCGGUGCUGGAAGGUUAAGAGGAGAUGUGCAAGCAUUGAAUCGAAGCCCCAGUGAACGGCGGCCGUAACAAUAACGGUCCUAAGGUAGCGAAAUUCCUUGUCAGGUAAGUUCUGACCCGCAUGAAGGGCGUAAUGAUUUGGGCACUGUCUCGACAGCCCGCCCGGCGAAAUUGUAGUACCGGUGAAGAUGCCGGUUACCCGCGACAAGACGGAAAGACCCCAUGGAGCUUUACUGUAGCCUAAUAUUGGGUUUCGAUGUUGCAUGCACAGGAUAGAUGGGACACAGGGAAACAAGUGCUUUGGCAUUUGUGGAGUGGCCGUUGGGAUACCAUCCUUGCGAUAUUGGAAUUCUAACCUGCCCCUUUGAAUCAAGGCGGGGGACAUUGUUAGGUGGGCAGUUUGACUGGGGCGGUCGCCUCCUAAAGAGUAACGGAGGCGUUCAAAGGUUCGCUCAGCUUGAACGGAAAUCAAGCAAAAGAGUGCAAACGCAGAAGCGAGCCUAACUGCGAGACUGACGGGUCGAGCAGUAACGAAAGUUGGAGUUAGUGAUCCGGUGGUAUGUGAGUGGAAAUGCCAUCGCUCAACGGAUAAAAGUUACCCUGGGGAUAACAGGCUGAUCUCCCCCAAGAGUCCACAUCGACGGGGAGGUUUGGCACCUCGAUGUCGGCUCAUCGCAUCCUGGGGCUGUAUUCGGUCCCAAGGGUUUGGCUGUUCGCCAAUUAAAGCGGUACGCGAGCUGGGUUCAGAACGUCGUGAGACAGUUCGGUCCCUAUCUGUCGUGGGCGCAGGAUAUUUGAUGGGAGCUGUUCCUAGUACGAGAGGACCGGAGCGGACGUACCUCUGGCGCACCAGUUGUUCUGCCAAGGGCAUAGCUGGGCAACUAUGUACGGAUCGGAUAAACGCUGAAAGCAUCUAAGCGUGAAGCCGACCCAAAGAUAAGAUAUCCCAUUGUUUCAAACAAGUAAGACCCCUUGAAGACUACAAGGUUGAUAGGCACGAUGUGUAAGUGGAGUGAUUCAUUCAGCAAGCGUGUACUAAUAGGUAGGGCUUGACCG